rnacentral:lncRNA from 1 species
CUCAAUCACCAGAUCCGCGACGAAAAGCCACAAGCUGAAGACUCCAUCGAUUCCAGCGGAUCAAGUUCCUCUUCCUCCGAUCUCAGUGCUGAAGAAACAACGAACCACAAGAGAACCCCGAAGCUCCCUCCCUCUUCUUCUUGUAAAGAAGCCGAACAAGGAACGGGCGACGCGACACCUCACCUGCGGAUCAGGGGAGCCUGGGGGUACCUGGAGGCGGGGACAUCGUCGGGGCGGCCGAGCCGUCCAUGUAGCGCGACGGCCGAUGCGGUCUUCACCGGAAAGUGUCAGCCCUAAAAUCAAGUGAGAAAUGUCUGGG